AGCGAACGCUGGCGGCAGGCUUAACACAUGCAAGUCGAGCGGGCAUCCUUGUGGUUUCAUCGUCUGACGUUUGCGUAACGCGUGUGAACGUCCCCUUCGUUUCGUACUUACUCAUGGAAACUUUCUCUAAUACCCGAUACGUUCUAGAGCAUAAAGUUUUAUCUGCCGAAGUUUCGUCGCGCGUCUCAUUAUUUCGUUCGUUUGGUUAUGGCUCACCAAGGCGACGAUCAGUAGAUGGUCUGAGAGGAUGAUCAGCCACACUGGGACUGAGACACUGCCCAGAAUCCUACGGGAGGGAGCAGUGGGGAAUAUAGGAAAAUGGGGGAAAACAUGAAGAAGCAAUGCCGGGUGAGUGAUGAAGGCCUUAGGGAUGUAAAGCUCUUUUAAACGGGACGAUAAUGACGGUACCGGAGGAAUAAGCCCCGGCUAACUUCGUG
rnacentral:rRNA from 1 species